UACGAAGGGUGCAAGCGUUACUCGGAAUUACUGGGCGUAAAGGGCGCGUAGGUGGCCUUCUAAGUUGAACGUGAAAUCCCUGGGCUCAACCCAGGAACUGCGUCCAAGACUGGGAGGCUUGAAUCCGGGAGAGGGAUGCGGAAUUCCAGGUGUAGCGGUGAAAUGCGUAGAUAUCUGGAGGAACACCGGUGGCGAAGGCGGCAUCCUGGACCGGGAUUGACACUGAGGCGCGAAAGCCAGGGGAGCAAACGGG
rnacentral:rRNA from 1 species